CCGCCUCAUAUUCUGUUUAUUAUUUAUUGGUCGGCUGAGCCGCCUUAUAUUCUGUUUAUUAUUUAUUGGUCGGCUGAGCCGCCUUAUAUUCUGUUUAUUAUUUAUUGGUCGGCUGAGCCGCCUUAUAUUCUGUUUAUUAUUAAUUGGUCGGCCGAGCCGCCGUAUAAUUUAUUUAUUACUCUGCAUUGAUCGGCUGAGCCGUCGCAUGAUUUUAUUGUCAUAUUUUUUUACUUUUAUGAAAUUUUAUAGAUUUGAUUGACCGUUUAAUGCGAUAUUUUCAGACUGAUUUUUAGUGCACUCGAUUUAACCCCAACGGUCACAAAGAUUUUUUUUCAAAAAUUUCCCCUUUCUCCAACGGUUAUGAACAGUGUUUUUCAUCUAUAAAUACAACUCAUU
rnacentral:lncRNA from 1 species